rnacentral:lncRNA from 1 species
UUUCCUUUCCCAUCUUCCGCUAUUCUCGUCAGCACUAUAAAUACGCGGCUUCGUAAUUGAAAAUUUUGCUUUUAGGGUUUAGAUGUGCUACAGGGCAUACCGCAAAAGCCAUUUCAUUUUCAUCAUGCGGGUACUUUUUGUUAUCUGCAGCCUGUACUUGAUAGGUGCUGUGGUCAGUGACUCCCGCCAGAUCGUCCUCAAGAUCUCCUUCAAGGCCCGACUCAAAAUCUGCAAAACGCUCUCUGUCUUCAAAAAGCAGCCGCCUCUUGUCAGUGAUGUCGGGUGGAAUAAAAUCUCUCUCAAAAAGUAAUAGAUGGUUCAGCUUUGGUUCGUUCAAGGAAGAUCCUACGAAAGCAGUUCGAAAAGCACUAAGAGGUGAUCAUUUGGAUAGAAGUGCAAGUGAUAUGAGUUUUUCCUCAGAUAUCUCCCAGGAUACUCCCAGCCCUGAAUCACAGCGUCAGAUAUUCCGCACCGCCUACUCUGAAUUUACCAAAGAGUGCAACGAGAAAUGCUCAUUAACAUGGGGUUACCAUUAUGAAUCCGACGAUAAAGUAUGCACAGAUCUGGUGUUUGCGAAAGGGACAGUAACUCCCAUCACGAAAGGAACAACAAUCAAAUCAUCCAUGGUUAAGGGUCUCACCGGUUUUGUCCAAUCUGCUAGAGAGGUGAUGCAUUUAAAGAAACCUGGGUAUACGUGUCUCUGCAUGACAACGAAGGCAUUCCAUUCCGUCCUUCAAACCAAGUUAAACACUUCGCCUAACGAAUUUGAAAAAAUGAGGAAAGAACUGAAAAAGGAUCCUGAUGAAGCGAGCAAAAUCCUGAACCAGAUAUACCCUGAAGGUAAGAAAGGAACAAAUUUCCAGCACGUUGAUCAUGAAACUCUGGUCAACGUAAUCGUAGAGGAGAUGACAGCUCAUAUUCAGGAUUCUGACUUCGAAAACUCGGACUUCGAAAAGCGUGUCGCUAAAUUGGGCUGGUGUGAUGCGGACAUCGAACCUGGCUCAAAGCGCCCUUCUCAAAGAACUCCACCUGCUUCCCCGACCCGCCGUGCAUGAAAGUUCCUCCACCGAUGAUUUUUCAGCGGAAAAUUCAAGGAGAGUUAACUAUAUUUAAAAUUCUUAUUAAUAUAUAUAUUAUAAGAAAGAGAAAUGAAAUAAUUGAGCAUUAAAUAUCACAGUACCCCAUGCAAGUAGAAAUCUACCUUACUCACCCUUUGAAAAAAAUAAAAAUCGAGUUAUUAGGAUUUCAUAUAGCAUGAACACACGGAAACCAGAAUGUUCCUUACCAUAUUUCAUUUUGACUGAUUUUUCUCGUGUUUGAAAGUGUAUUACACGAAGCUAAAACUGUUACACCUUGAAACUUACUGAAUAUCACAGAGACACUCACAAAAUUUAACGUUAAGAUGUUGCUUUCUUCUAUGUUAAUAACCGUAAUUAGUAGAGGAGAUUCGACAACGACUGAUGCAGUUAUGAUGAUUCGUUUUGAGCAUAUAUACGUCCAAUCAUCCCUAAUGUUCGAGAAUUUCUCUCCAAUAACGACUCCACAUGCGAAUUGCUGAAAACAUCGGUAGCCAUAUCUAGCAUUGACUCUAAGAUAUGGCGUUCCAUUAAGAUUAUUUCCCACCAAUAACAGAAAUAAAACAAAUAUUCUACGUGUUAAACAUUACCCAUUGAUAAUCCAGAGUAAAAUAUACCUUACGCGAUUUUUUUCUUGUAGAAGAUCGAGUUUUGGUCCACUAAAGAAUGGUAUGUUCCUAACAAAACCGCAUUUAAUUAGCGGUUUUUCUCCUCUUUUAUAUGUGAUGACGACGUCUCCGCAAUAGCACAUAUCCACCUAGAAUUAUGCCUCCAGAAAAUUAAGUUCUCUUAGAGAUGGUUUUAAAAUAUAAGUAUUCUAGUCCUUAGAGUUUUACUAACUUUUCUAGAAUGGUCUAAUCCACAAUUUCAUUUUCUAUUGUAAAUAAAUUGAUUCUGCAUUCGUUAACAACUUGUUUACAUUAU